rnacentral:rRNA from 1 species
AACGAACGCUGGCGGCAUGCCUAACACAUGCAAGUCGAACGAGACCUUCGGGUCUAGUGGCGCACGGGUGCGUAACGCGUGGGAACCUGCCCUUAGGUUCGGAAUAACUCCCCGAAAGGGGUGCUAAUGCCGGAUAAUGUCUGCGGACCAAAGAUUUAUCGUCUUUGGAUGGGCCCGCGUUGGAUUAGCUAGUUGGUAGGGUAAAAGCCUACCAAGGCGACGAUCCAUAGCUGGUCUGAGAGGAUGAUCAGCCACACUGGGACUGAGACACGGCCCAGACUCCUACGGGAGGCAGCAGUGGGGAAUAUUGGACAAUCGGCGAAAGCCUGAUCCAGCAAUGCCGCGUGAGUGAUGAAGGCCUUAGGGUUGUAAAGCUCUUUUAACCGGGAUGAUAAUGACAGUACCGGGAGAAUAAGCUCCGGCUAACUCCGUG